UACGAAGGGGGCGAGCGUUGUUCGGAAUUACUGGGCGUAAAGGGCGCGUAGGCGGCCGAUCAAGUCAGAUGUGAAAGUCCUGGGCUUAACCUGGGGACUGCAUUUGAUACUGAUUGGCUUGUAUGCAGGAGAGGAUAGCGGAAUUCCCAGUGUAGAGGUGAAAUUCGUAGAUAUUGGGAAGAACACCGGUGGCGAAGGCGGCUAUCUGGACUGUGAUUGACGCUGAGGCGCGAAAGCGUGGGGAGCAAACAGG
rnacentral:rRNA from 1 species